CAUCAACCAAAAGAAAGAAAGAAACAAAACAAAACAAAAAACACAACCAAAGAAGCAUCCAUCGAGCCUGUUGCUU
rnacentral:ribozyme from 18 species